rnacentral:rRNA from 1 species
UAGGGAAUCUUCCGCAAUGGGCGAAAGCCUGACGGAGCAACGCCGCGUGAGUGAUGAAGGUCUUCGGAUCGUAAAACUCUGUUAUUAGGGAAGAACAAAUGUGUAAGUAACUAUGCACGUCUUGACGGUACCUAAUCAGAAAGCCACGGCUAACUACGUGCCAGCAGCCGCGGUAAUACGUAGGUGGCAAGCGUUAUCCGGAAUUAUUGGGCGUAAAGCGCGCGUAGGCGGUUUUUUAAGUCUGAUGUGAAAGCCCACGGCUCAACCGUGGAGGGUCAUUGGAAACUGGAAAACUUGAGUGCAGAAGAGGAAAGUGGAAUUCCAUGUUUAGCAGUGAAAUGCGCAGAGAUAUGGAGGAACACCAGUGGCGAAGGCGACUUUCUGGUCUGUAACUGACGCUGAUGUGCGAAAGCGUGGGGAUCAAACAGG